rnacentral:lncRNA from 1 species
ACUGCCACCACCACCGCUACCGCAGUGCUCCCACUGGUGCAGAGCUCCAGUGGUCACAGACCCACUUCCGCCAUCCUCCUGCAGCAGCUCGCCCUCUCUUUCCGCACCGUCCGGCUCGCUAUGCGCUCCUCCGCGGCUUUGGCGCUUCUGCUGUGCGCCGGGCAAGUCUUUGCCCUUCCUGUGAACAGCCCUAUGACAAAAGGGGACACUAAGGUAAGAAGGAAUGUUGGGGUAUCCUGGGAGAGGGAGGGUGCCCUGUGGACUCCUCAUGGCCAGUCCUUAGGCAACUGCAGAAAGGAGCCUGGCAUGGAGCCAAAAGGCAGCACUGCAGCAGCUGAGCCUGCACAGGGGACAGCUCGCACAAGAAGGCAUCAAAGAUCUCCUGCUGUUCAGCUACAGUGACUUCCCAAGGCCCAUGUCUCACCUGCUGGGGCCUGGGACCAGGGACACUGGUCUGAGCCAGG